AAUUCCAAACUAAUUUCUAUGGCAACAUAGUUGUCAAUUUUGUAAACAAUCAUUUUCGAACGUGUGUUGCCAAGAGACAUCUAACCGACGUUCUAUGGAACGUUUUCUGUGCGAAAACAACAACUUUGCUGCUGACAACAAACUUGUUUGAUUUUUGAGACCUGAGAACAAUCGACUGGAAAAUGCCUGGGUGCUUUUCAAGACUGGCGGAGAGAGUGCGUGGACGUCGGCGGCCUACUGCGUCGACAGGUUGUUCAAAUUCAUUUGUGGCUUGUUUUUCUUGUCUUUUUCUGUUUUGCAGGGUUCGUGAUCGUUGACAGCGACAGCGACUUCGAAGAGGAAACAACUGUCCUGGAUGAGGUCCAGUUGGAUGUGCCAUUGGAUGAUGUGCCAGAUGUUCCACAGCUGCCAGUCCUCCUUGAUGUCCAGAAUGCUGCUAUCAUCCUUGAGGAUGUGCCAGAUGUGCCAGAUGUGCAGACUAUCCUUGAGAACAAUGCCGGUCCGGUGGUUAAAGCUUGGAGAACUUUCCAGUUCAUCAGCCCCAUCAUCACCUACAUGCGUGGGGGAUCCCAGCAGGUGGUGGUGAGGAUGCACCACGUGAGUAGGGUGAGAGGCCUGGAGACUCAACUGGUGUGGGCCAUCUCCAAGGAGACAGCCAGGCUUAGUCCAGAGGGCAUCCCCUACUGUGCCACCAAAGUGCAGUCCAUCACUUGGA